CCUACGGGAGGCUGCAGUGAGGAAUAUUGGUCAAUGGGCGCUAGCCUGAACCAGCCAAGUAGCGUGAAGGAUGACUGCCCUAUGGGUUGUAAACUUCUUUUAUAUGGGAAUAAAGUGCAGUAUGUAUACUGCUUUGCAUGUACCUUAUGAAUAAGGAUCGGCUAACUCCGUGCCAGCAGCCGCGGUAAUACGGAGGAUCCGAGCGUUAUCCGGAUUUAUUGGGUUUAAAGGGAGCGUAGGCGGGUUGUUAAGUCAGUUGUGAAAGUUUGCGGCGCAACCGUAAAAUUGCAGUUGAUACUGGCAGCCUUGAGUACAGUAGAGGUAGGCGGAAUUCGUGGUGUAGCGGUGAAAUGCUUAGAUAUCACGAAGAACUCCGAUUGCGAAGGCAGCCUGCUGGACUGUAACUGACGCUGAUGCUCGAAAGUGUGGGUAUCAAACAGGAUUAGAUACCCUUGUAGUC
rnacentral:rRNA from 1 species